rnacentral:lncRNA from 1 species
AAUGGGUCAUUAGAGGUGCCUGGAGACUGUAAUUAUGGUAUAGCGUUUCAUGGGUUUGCAAUUGCCGGCUGUGUUUUCUAGACGCCCGAAUCAAGUCUACUGUGGAAUGAUGCCUCUCAGAAAGUUUGCAUACAAUAUUCUGGAUAAUGAAUAAAAGGAGAUGUUCACCUUUGGCUCAAGGCCCCACUUACUCCAAGAUGCCGGUGGUUGAACGAGAGUUUGCUGCAGGAAGAAAGAGGCCCCUGAGGAGUCGUGCUUCCAGUGAAGCCACUUACCCAUCUAAAGGCAGAACGCAGCGCCACCUGUCGGUGAAAGAGGGUGACGGAUGUCUGACUCAAGAGGACCGGUGGAUCCAUCAUCACCCGUGAAGUGUCAGUCAUCCCCUGGGUGCAGGCCUGCCUUGGACGGGGUGGGGUGGGUAAGGGUGUGCAGGAGAACCCGGAGGCCCAGCUCUGCUUCCGGCUCAGAGAGGGCCGAGUUGGGAGGUUGAGCUGCCUACUUUGGUCCCUCGUCCUGGGCACCAGUGGCUCUCAGAAAAUAAACGGAAGUGGGACGUGUCAGAAGCGAAGGAUCUGGCUUGGCUUGAGGAACAUGGAGAGUCUCUGGCAAAGCAGCAUACCUGAGCAAGCACAUAAUUUUACAGAAGCUACUCACUGCAGUAUUGUUUGAAAUACAAAAGUUGAAAACGACCCCUGCAAGAGGAGCGGUAAAUAAAGUAUGUUGCCUCCAUAUAGAAGAACACUGUGUAGCUGUAAGAAAAUAAUAAAAAACCUUUUUAGGUACCCAUGUAGAAAAGUAUCCAAGGUACAUUAAGAGAGAAACAAAACAAGAGCAGAGACUAACAGUGUGUAUAAUAGGCCAUGUGCAUAUGUAUAUACAUAUAUAUGUAUUUAUAUAUACGUAUAUAUAAAGAGGGAAUAUAAAAUAAAUAUUCAUUUUGCUUGGCUAAGCCUAAGAAAACUCUGAAGCAUGCAUGGAAAAAUGUUAACACAGUGGUUGCUGGAGUGAAUGUGUGGAGACAGGAAUGGCAGGGAGACC